rnacentral:misc_RNA from 1 species
UCCGAGUUGUCCCCGGCAGUCCCCUUAGAGUCCCCGGCAUUACCCGCUGGCAACUAAGGGCAGGGGUUGCGCUCGUUGCGGCACUUAAGCCAACACCUCACGGCACGAGCUGACGACAGCCAUGCAGCAUCUGUGGUGCACCCUCGAAGGUCACACGUUUCCGUGCGCUUGCAGCACCAUGUCAAGCCUAGGUAAGGUUCUUCGCGUUGCAUCGAAUUAAGCCACAUGCUCCGCCGCUUGUGCGGGCCCCCGUCAAUUCUUUUGAGUUUUAGCCUUGCGGCCGUACUCCCCAGGCGGCGAACUUAACGCGUUAGCUUCGAUACUGCGUGCCAAAUUGCACCCAACAUCCAGUUCGCAUCGUUUAGGGCGUGGACUAC